GCCGGGUGUGGUGGUGCACACCUGUAAUCCCAGCUACUUGGGAGGCUGAGACAUGGGAAUUGCUUGAGCCUGGGAGGCGGAGCUUGCAAUGGGCCGAGAUAGCACCACUGCACUCCAGCCUGGGCAACAGAGCAAGACUCUGUCUCUC
ensembl:misc_RNA Metazoa_SRP Metazoan signal recognition particle RNA